rnacentral:rRNA from 1 species
GACGAACGCUGGCGGCGUGCUUAACACAUGCAAGUCGAACGAUGAUGCUGGAGCUUGCUCCAGUUGAUUAGUGGCGAACGGGUGAGUAACACGUGAGCAAUCUGCCCUUGACUCUGGGAUAACUGCGGGAAACUGUAGCUAAUACCGGAUACUUUCACCGGGGGGCAUCCUCUGGUGAUGAAAGAAUUUCGGUCAAGGAUGAGCUCGCGGCCUAUCAGCUUGUUGGUGAGGUAACGGCUCACCAAGGCGACGACGGGUAACCGGCCUGAGAGGGUGACCGGUCACACUGGGACUGAGACACGGCCCAGACUCCUACGGGAGGCAGCAGUGGGGAAUAUUGCACAAUGGGCGCAAGCCUGAUGCAGCAACGCCGCGUGAGGGAUGAAGGCCUUCGGGUUGUAAACCUCUUUUAGCAGGGAAGAAGCGAAAGUGACGGUACCUGCAGAAAAAGCACCGGCUAACUACGUGCCAGCCGCCGCCAGCG